rnacentral:pre_miRNA from 1 species
UUUACGUGGCAGCAUAGGACUGAAUUGUGGGAGGACUUAUAUGAUUCUACCCCUUUUCAUUUUCAUGCUGUUUUGGUA